rnacentral:rRNA from 1 species
GAGGGAAAGGUGAAAAGCAACCAUGCAGAAUGGGUUGAAACAGCAGUGAAAGCGCUACCGGGAUAAGGGCUGGGGAUUGCUUGUGUCGCUUGCGCGUGCUUCAGUGCUGUGCUCGCGGACGGCAUGCAUCGAUUAGGAUGGGGAGAACAGGGCCAUCGGGAAUUCGGCUGGAUCCGUCCAGUGUUGUAGCCCGGAGGUCAAUGGAGCCUCUUCUGACCGUUGAGUGUCUUGCGAUUGUCAGCCGCCCGUCUUGAAACACGGACCAAGGAGUGCACCUUGCAUGCGAGUCGAAGGGACUGUAAUCCCAAAGGCGAAGCGAAAGCGAAGGCUGCGAACCCUCACGGCGUCGGCAGCACCCGCCUUGUGCGAGGUAGAGCAUGUAGGGUGCGACCCGAAAGAUGGUGAACUAUGCCCGGGUAAGGUGAAGCCAGUGGAAACGCUGGUGGAGGCCUGUAGCGGUUCUGACGUGCAGAUCGAUCGUGUAACCUGGGUAUAGGGGCGAAAGACCUAUCGAACCGUCUAAUGGCUGGUUCCCCCCGAAGUUUCCCUCAGGAUAGCUGUGUCCCUAUUGUCAGUUGCACGCGGUAAAGCGAAUGAUUAGGUGUCUCGGGGACGUUAUUGUCCUCGGCUCAUUCUCAAACUGUGAAUUGUGUGCGCACCGCGCGUGACCUAACGGCACGCCGGGCGAAUGACAGGACGCAAGUGGGCUGGUUUUGGUAAG